rnacentral:rRNA from 1 species
CACGUAGGGGACGAGCGUUGUCCGGAUUCAUUGGGCGUAAAGCGCGCGUAGGCGGCUCGGAAAGUCGGGCGUGAAAUGCCGGGGCUCAACCCGGGAACUGCGUCCGAUACUGGUGGGCUUGAAUCCGGGAGAGGGAUGUGGAAUUCCAGGUGUAGCGGUGAAAUGCGUAGAUAUCUGGAGGAACACCGGUGGCGAAGGCGGCAUCCUGGACCGGUAUUGACGCUGAGGCGCGAAAGCUAGGGGAGCAAACGGG